rnacentral:piRNA from 1 species
UGCACUGAUAUGGCGCCUCUUCUGUGUGCA